rnacentral:sRNA from 1 species
AGGGCCGGGGUCCUUUGCAGACGGGGCUCAAGACAGCAGUAGAAGGGCUCCAGCUCCAAAACUGGGAACGUUUGGUGUGUGGGAUGGAAAGCGCAGAGCGGGACAGGCAGACGAUGGUGCCAUCAGAGUCUGGAAGAAUUUUGCUGAUUUGGAAAAGAACCCAGAGAUGGUGACCGCGUGGCAGGGGCUCUCAGACAUGCUGCCAACGACGCGAGGAGCUGGGAUGGUGGUGGACUGGGAGCAGGAGACUGGCCUCCUCAUGAGCUCGGGAGACGUGCGGAUUGUCCGGAUCUGGGACACAGACCGUGAGAUGAAGGUGCAGGACAUCCCCACGGGCGCAGACAGCUGCGUGACGAGUCUGUCCUGUGAUUCGCACCGCUCACUCAUCGUGGCUGGCCUCGGUGACGGCUCCAUCCGCGUCUACGACAGAAGGAUGGCACUCAGCGAAUGCCGCGUCAUGACGUACCGGGAGCACACAGCCUGGGUGGUAAAGGCCUCCCU